rnacentral:rRNA from 1 species
GACGAACGCUGGCGGCGUGCUUAACACAUGCAAGUCGAACGGAGUGGCGAACGGGUGAGUAACACGUGGGUGAUCUGCCUUGCACGUCGGGGUAAGCUUGGGAGACUGGGUCUAAUACAGGAUAGUGCAAGAUGAGGUCGCGGCCUAUCAGCUUGUUGGUGGGGUAAUGGCCUACCAAUGCGUCGACGGGUAGCCGGCCUGGGAGGGUGUACGGGGACAUUGGUACUGAGAUACGGCCCAGACUCGUACGGGAGGCAGUAGUGGGGAAUCUGGUACAAUGGGGGGACGUCUGAUGCAGGGACGCUGCGUUUGUGAUGAAGGUCUGCGGGUGGUAAACUCCUUUCGGCAGGGACGCGGUACCUGCAUAAGAAGCACCGGCUAACUACGUGCCAGCAGCCGCGGUAAUUC